AGAUUAUUAUUUAUUUAUGUUUUUUGUGAUUACCAUUUUCAUAAAAAGCAAAAAGUAAAAAAAAACAUCAUAGACGUGGAUGAAUAAAAUUGUACUUUAUUGAUGAUAGUAAGAAAAUGCCCGACAAUGUUCACUUCUCUCUUAGGCAUAGGAGAUAGAUUUUUCUUAAAAUAAUGGAAACAAAUUACUUAGAACGGUGCAUAAUAACGG
rnacentral:lncRNA from 1 species